GACUGACCUCUAGUGCACCAGUUGUUCCGCCAGGAGCACAGCUGGGUAGCUAAGUCGGGAAGGGAUAAACGCUGAAAGCAUCUAAGCGUGAAGCCUCCCUCAAGAUAAGAUUUCCCAUGACGAAAGUCAGUAAGACCCCUUGAAGAACACAAGGUUGAUAGGUCGGAGGUGUAAGUGCAGUAAUGUAUUAAGCUGACCGAUACUAAUAGGUCGAGGACUUGACCAA
rfam:Clostridium tepidiprofundi DSM 19306 CLTE_contig000045, whole genome shotgun sequence.